GCCCUCGUGGAUCAGCGGUUAGAUCCUCUUCUAUCUAUGAUUGGGAAUAUAGAUUCUUCCGAAGAAGUCGUGAGUUCGAACCUCACCGAGGGCA